rnacentral:lncRNA from 1 species
UAGUAUCUGAAAAUAAUCUUUAUCAUUUUCUUAUGUUCCUGUGGGGUGACUGGAUUAUUUCUUCUAUAUUUUUGCCAGGCAAUGAAAAACUAUCAGCAUGGCUACACUUCCAUGUUGGAGCUUCAGUUGAUAUGACCAAAAAUGAGUCCAGAUACACUGACGUAUGCCAUAAUUCUACACUACAAUCCAUUGCCUGCCAACAACUCUAGCAUCGUGAGAACUCAUCUGUCAUGCCAAUGAAACGUUCUUAUCUCAGAGUAUUGACAGUGGUCACCCAUCAUCUCUACAUCAAGGAGUGACAGAGGAAUAAUGCAGGAUGCUGGAAAAGACAUAGACAAAGUAUACCCAAGGGCUCAAAGUUCC